rnacentral:rRNA from 1 species
CGCUCAACAGCUAGCCCCCCCCCAAUUUCAACACGCCCCUAUUAAUACCCCCUAAAUAUCCCAAUAUUUACUUAUAACAAAACAUUUUUCCCCCUUAGUAUAGGCGACAGAAAAGGAACCCUGGCGCAAUAGAAAAAGUACCGUAAGGGAAUGCUGAAAGAGAAAUGAAAUAACCCAGUAAAGCCUUAAAAAGCAGAGAUUAAUUCUCGUACCUUUUGCAUCAUGAUUUAGUAAGUGUUCCCCAAGCAAAACGCAUUUUAGUUUGAUACCCCGAAACUACGUGAGCUACUUCAAGACAGCCUAUUAAUAGGGCUAACCCGUCUCUGUGGCAAAAGAGUGGGAAGAACUUUGAGUAGAGGUGACAAACCUACCGAACCUAGUUAUAGCUGGUUGUCCAAGAAAUGAAUAGAAGUUCAGCCUCUAAGCUUCUCCUUUCACCUGAACUUAACCCCUUUAGAUGUAUUAAAGAAACUAAGAGAGUUAGUCAAAGGAGGUACAGCUCCUUUGAAUCAAGACACAACUUUAACAGGUGGGUAAAGAUCAUA